AUUGCACAAUGGGCGCAAGCCUGAUGCAGCGACGCCGCGUGAGGGAUGACGGCCUUCGGGUUGUAAACCUCUUUCAGUAGGGAAGAAGCGAAAGUGACGGUACCUGCAGAAGAAGCGCCGGCUAACUACGUGCCAGCAGCCGCGGUAAUACGUAGGGCGCAAGCGUUAUCCGGAAUUAUUGGGCGUAAAGAGCUCGUAGGCGGUUUGUCGCGUCUGCCGUGAAAGUCCGGGGCUCAACUCCGGAUCUGCGGUGGGUACGGGCAGACUAGAGUGAUGUAGGGGAGACUGGAAUUCCUGGUGUAGCGGUGAAAUGCGCAGAUAUCAGGAGGAACACCGAUGGCGAAGGCAGGUCUCUGGGCAUUAACUGACGCUGAGGAGCGAAAGCAUGGGGAGCGAACAGGAUUAGAUACCCUGGUAGUCCAUGCCGUAAACGUUGGGCACUAGGUGUGGGGGACAUUCCACGUUUUCCGCGCCGUAGCUAACGCAUUAAGUGCCCCGCCUGGGGAGUACGG
rnacentral:rRNA from 1 species